UCGACGAACUCUGGUAUUGAUUGGUGCUUGCAUCAUGAUUUACAUUUGAGUGAGUGGCGAACUGGUGAGUAACACGUGGGAAACCUGCCCAGAAGCGGGGGAUAACACCUGGAAACAGAUGCUAAUACCGCAUAACAACUUGGACCGCAUGGUCCGAGUUUGAAAGAUGGCUUCGGCUAUCACUUUUGGAUGGUCCCGCGGCGUAUUAGCUAGAUGGUGGGGUAACGGCUCACCAUGGCAAUGAUACGUAGCCGACCUGAGAGGGUAAUCGGCCACAUUGGGACUGAGACACGGCCCAAACUCCUACGGGAGGCAGCAGUAGGGAAUCUUCCACAAUGGACGAAAGUCUGAUGGAGCAACGCCGCGUGAGUGAAGAAGGGUUUCGGCUCGUAAAACUCUGUUGUUAAAGAAGAACAUAUCUGAGAGUAACUGUUCAGGUAUUGACGGUAUUUAACCAGAAAGCCACGGCUAACUACGUGCCAGCAGCCGCGGUAAUACGUAGGUGGCAAGCGUUGUCCGGAUUUAUUGGGCGUAAAGCGAGCGCAGGCGGUUUUUUAAGUCUGAUGUGAAAGCCUUCGGCUCAACCGAAGAAGUGCAUCGGAAACUGGGAAACUUGAGUGCAGAAGAGGACAGUGGAACUCCAUGUGUAGCGGUGAAAUGCGUAGAUAUAUGGAAGAACACCAGUGGCGAAGGCGGCUGUCUGGUCUGUAACUGACGCUGAGGCUCGAAAGUAUGGGUAGCAAACAGGAUUAGAUACCCUGGUAGUCCAUACCGUAAACGAUGAAUGCUAAGUGUUGGAGGGUUUCCGCCCUUCAGUGCUGCAGCUAACGCAUUAAGCAUUCCGCCUGGGGAGUACGGCCGCAAGGCUGAAACUCAAAGGAAUUGACGGGGGCCCGCACAAGCGGUGGAGCAUGUGGUUUAAUUCGAAGCUACGCGAAGAACCUUACCAGGUCUUGACAUACUAUGCAAAUCUAAGAGAUUAGACGUUCCCUUCGGGGACAUGGAUACAGGUGGUGCAUGGUUGUCGUCAGCUCGUGUCGUGAGAUGUUGGGUUAAGUCCCGCAACGAGCGCAACCCUUAUUAUCAGUUGCCAGCAUUAAGUUGGGCACUCUGGUGAGACUGCCGGUGACAAACCGGAGGAAGGUGGGGAUGACGUCAAAUCAUCAUGCCCCUUAUGACCUGGGCUACACACGUGCUACAAUGGAUGGUACAACGAGUUGCGAACUCGCGAGAGUAAGCUAAUCUCUUAAAGCCAUUCUCAGUUCGGAUUGUAGGCUGCAACUCGCCUACAUGAAGUCGGAAUCGCUAGUAAUCGCGGAUCAGCAUGCCGCGGUGAAUACGUUCCCGGGCCUUGUACACACCGCCCGUCACACCAUGAGAGUUUGUAACACCCAAAGUCGGUGGGGUAACCUUUUAGAACCAG
rnacentral:rRNA from 2 species